rnacentral:rRNA from 1 species
AGUAACGCGUGGAUAACCUGCCUCACACUGGGGGAUAACAGUUAGAAAUGACUGCUAAUACCGCAUAAGCGCACAGUACCGCAUGGUACAGUGUGAAAAACUCCGGUGGUGUGAGAUGGAUCCGCGUCUGAUUAGCCAGUUGGCGGGGCAACGGCCCACCAAAGCGACGAUCAGUAGCCGACCUGAGAGGGUGACCGGCCACAUUGGGACUGAGACACGGCCCAA